rnacentral:rRNA from 1 species
AACGAACGCUGGCGGCAGGCUUAACACAUGCAAGUCGAACGGUAAGGCCCUUCGGGGUACACGAGUGGCGAACGGGUGAGUAACACGUGGGUGAUCUGCCCUGCACUUCGGGAUAAGCCUGGGAAACUGGGUCUAAUACCGGAUAGGACCACUGCCUGCAUGGGUGGUGGUGGAAAGCUUUUGCGGUGUGGGAUGGGCCCGCGGCCUAUCAGCUUGUUGGUGGGGUGAUGGCCUACCAAGGCGACGACGGGUAGCCGGCCUGAGAGGGUGACCGGCCACACUGGGACUGAGAUACGGCCCAGACUCCUACGGGAGGCAGCAGUGGGGAAUAUUGCACAAUGGGCGCAAGCCUGAUGCAGCGAUGCCGCGUGAGGGAUGACGGCCUACGGGUUGUAAACCUCUUUCAGCACCGACGAAGCGCAAGUGACGGUAGGUGCAGAAGAAGGACCGGCCAACUACGUGCCAGCCGCCGCAGUAA